UAGUCCACGCCCUAAACGAUGUUGGCUCGGUAUCUGGCUAUAAGCUGGGUGCCCAAGGGAAACCGAUAAGCCAACCACCUGGGGAGUACGUCGGCAAGGGUGAAACUCAAAGGAAUUGACGGGGGCCCGCACAAGCGGAGGAGCAUGUGGUUUAAUUCGAUGAUACGCGAGGAACCUUACCUGAACUUAAAUGGCGAACGACAGUCGUGGAAACAUGACUUUCUUUUAGACGUUCGUCAAGGUGCUGCAUGGUUGUCGUCAGCUCGUGCCGUGAGGUGUUGGGUUAAGUCCCACAACGAGCGCAACCCCUAUCGUUAGUUGCCAUCAGUUAGGCUGGGGACUCUAACGAGACUGCCUGCGCAAGCAGUGAGGAAGGCGGGGAUGACGUCAAAUCAUCAUGGCCCUUACGUUCAGGGCUACACACGUGCUACAAUGGCAGGUACAGCGGGUAGCUACCACGCAAGUGGAUGCUAAUCUCUAAAGCCUGUCUCAGUUCGGAUCGGAGUCUG
rnacentral:rRNA from 1 species